rnacentral:misc_RNA from 1 species
UCUCCGUUGGUGAAUCAGCGGAGGGAUCAUUACAGGACUCGCAAGACUCCUACAACCCUGUGAACUUCACUACAAGCACGUUGCUUCGGCGGGUGUCUCGGCGGAGGUCCCCACUGGGGGCCUGCGCAGGGGCGCGAAGCCCGCCGGCGGCCUACUAUACUCUGUCUCUUUGCGUUGGCAUCUCGAGAAAAAGCAAACAAGUCAAAACUUUCAACAACGGAUCUCUUGGUUCUG